rnacentral:rRNA from 1 species
CAGUAGCCGCGGUAACACGGAGGGUGCAAGCGUUAAUCGGAAUUACUGGGCGUAAAGCGCACGCAGGCGGUUUGUUAAGUCAGAUGUGAAAUCCCCGGGCUCAACCUGGGAACUGCAUUUGAAACUGGCAAGCUAGAGUCUCGUAGAGGGGGGUAGAAUUCCAGGUGUAGCGGUGAAAUGCGUAGAGAUCUGGAGGAAUACCGGUGGCGAAGGCGGCCCCCUGGACGAAGACUGACGCUCAGGUGCGAAAGCGUGGGGAGCAAACAGGAUUAGAUACCCGCGUAGUCCCUGUCUCUUAUAC